AGCGAACGCUGGCGGCAGGCUUAACACAUGCAAGUCGAGCGGACCUUUCGGGGUCAGCGGCGGACGGGUGAGUAACGCGUGGGAACGUGCCUUCCGGUUCGGAAUAACCCUGGGAAACUAGGGCUAAUACCGGAUACGCCCUUAUGGGGAAAGGUUUACUGCCGGAAGAUCGGCCCGCGUCUGAUUAGCUAGUUGGUGGGGUAACGGCCUACUAAGGCGACGAUCAGUAGCUGGUCUGAGAGGAUGAUCAGCCACACUGGGACUGAGACACGGCCCAGACUCCUACGGGAGGCAGCAGUGGGGAAUAUUGGACAAUGGGCGCAAGCCUGAUCCAGCCAUGCCGCGUGAGUGAUGAAGGCCUUAGGGUUGUAAAGCUCUUUUAUCCGGGACGAUAAUGACGGUACCGGAGGAAUAAGCCCCGGCUAACUUCGUG
rnacentral:rRNA from 1 species